rnacentral:misc_RNA from 1 species
UCAAGAACAUCCUUCCCCUGAAGCUCAGCUUCAAGCUCCUCGCGCUCAUGUCCAGUAGCAAUAGGCAUUACAUCCUCAAUCCUCUUUUUCACAGCACCAUCUGAAUCGAUACUGAAGUAGCGAUUGGAGAGAGAAGUGGAAGGCGAUGGGGAAAUGAAGAAUCGAUUAGAGGAAGCAAAUAGGGAGACGGCGGAAGCAGAUCGGUAGGAGGAGGCUAGGGUUUUGAGCUGUGAAGAAAGUGCUCUUCUCCACAUCGUCUUCGUUUUGGUGGAUUUAGAUUCUGUGUUCUCUUGUGAUUGAAGGUCACACCCUGUAUGUAUCUCUGGUU